UGGAGUGUGAACAGGGAAGCUGGAGUUUUAUUUUUCUACAGACUAGGCUUUAACGGGUUUUGUACAGCAGAAUCUCGAGAGCUUGUGAGGAAUUCAGCAACUUAAUCCUUGAGGCAUUUAAAAAUAUUCAAAUUGACCCGCUUAUUUUUCCGGCAUCAGCAAAAGUUCACUGCUUUUUCGCUUGCGCAAUUACAACCAAGCAGGCAAGCCGUGUAUUAGUCCAGUUGCAAUGGAAUUUCUCAGCAAAUCCAAGCGACCAAGAAGAGCGACUCUCGCUGCAGCCACGCUCUCACGCUGCCACCAUUCGUCACUCACAGCACCAGUAGGCACGGAAGCUGCAAAGGCAGCACGGAUUUGGGUGGAAACAGAGCUCAGUUUGAAGCUGCAACACUCAGAACCUCUUGAAACUUCACAUUUAGAAAGAUUCAUUGCAGGCAUGGGGGAAAGUACACUCUGGCGAGGUGUCAUGGCUCUGUUACCUCGCUCUGUUACCUCACACCCUGUGCCGCGAGGAGCUGCCGCAGUCCCUUUCGCCGUUACCUAUUCCAGGGUGUUGGUGAUGGAAAUCAGAUCGGAGUAG
rnacentral:lncRNA from 12 species